UGACUUUUUAAUGUUCAUUUGAUUUUAUUUCAGGGCUGAAUAUGACAUGUAUUAUUGGCCCUAUUUGUGUUAAUCGCACAAAUUAGGUGCAGCCAUUCUGUUAUGUGAAUUGAUAGGGACUUGAGGAAACUAAAUUAAGAACAAAUGUUUUAGAUGUGGUUUCUAGAUGGAGACAGAGGAUGAAGCAAUUUUUUUGUCCAUUAUCUCUUACAUUUUUAAUUGGUUAACAUUUUAUAAGUAUUCCAAAAGUGUUUAAUCUCUUGGAAAAUGGCUGCUGAUUUUUGUCUGAUCAAAUAUGGCCUUUCAAACGUAUGUUGAGUGUUUAUGUACUUAGUGUGUCCAAGCCCUUUUAAUUCAGUGCUGUCUUUUAACACACUAGAACAAUAAUGUGUUGGUAAUGAUUUGUAGUCACUAUCUGGACUGGAUCCAAGAGAAUCAGGGAAAGUGUGUCACGUUUUAAAAGGCCUUGGCACAAGUUUGAAAGGUAUCUACGUUUGGUAUGCUUUGAAAUGGUGCCCCCAUGCCAAAGCGUGGAUUUCUCAUAGGAACCCUUCUAAAAAAAAGAGGUAGUGUACAUAGGAGGCUUCAGGAAUGGGGCCCUGCUGCCAUGCUCUGUCAAUCAUCCAGUGAAAUCAUCAAAUGGAUUCCACCAAUUCUCUCAUUGGUUUAAAUCACAAAAUGAUUGACAGGACACAAAAUAAAUUAAGCUAAGUUCUGCCAUUACUACCUUUUUGAUACUAGAUUGUUGGCGAUCCUGCAAUGCCAUACUUACCUGCUUGUUGACGCAAGCUACCCUACAAUCUAAUUUAGCAGGAGAGCGUUUGUACAGGUUAGGCAUUUCCUCUUAACGCAGUUCUCGUUGUUUUUCAGAACCCUGGUUUAAGAAUCGUAGAGUGUAUGUAGGAACUGGCUCUUUUUGCUGUUUUUAACCAUGUUAUAUGAAUGUUUACAUUUUUUGGGGUCAAGUGUACUGUAUUUGAAGUUUUUCCAUCUGCUGUUAAAUUAUUACAACGAAUGACGGGAAACGGCAGGAUUCCAACAGAAGCCCUGAAGGAUAAAUAAAUUGGAAUAUUUUUGGGUUGUAUAUUUUGACAUGGAAGCAGUCUUGUUGUAUUGCUGAUUCGCCUAUGCUAUUCACACACACCGUAACUAAUCUAAACGGCAGUUGGCAACGAUUUAAAAAGUGACUUUUUGGGGGGUAGAACAGCAGACUUGAUAGAAUGACAGUGGUUUGGUGAGAGAUUUGAAGAUGGUUUUGCUCUGAACUUUGUGUACUCUCAUUGGCACAUUGUUUUCUUCUGCAACUAUGGAAUUAACAACCAAAAUGCUUCCACUCUUGGUUAUUUCAAAUACGCUGUAAUAUCAGGAUGAACUGUCAUACUCUGUCAGGUAAUGUUAGAAACGCGUGUUUCACUGUUUGCUUUGGCGAGGGGAAUAUUGACAGAGUUAAAAUACUAAUUUAGCACCAACUAAUACUUGAACAACUGGAAUGAGAUGGGAUAGCGCAAGGUCAAAUAUAAAACGCAUCUACUUUUAUUACCCAACAUUUGUUUACUUAAUUAGUACUUGAAACGUGUGUUUCUUGAGGAUAUAAUCAAAUAAGUAAUUCAAUUCACAAUAGAUUUCCCAGAUCUUGAUAUUGUCAAAAAUGUGGUCCCUUUAUUGGAAAUACUGCAUCAUCAUACUAGACAUUUUUACUGAAUAACUACAUGUUAUAUUUGUCAGAUGUUUUUAUGGUCUAGCUUGCUAGAGAAUUUGUCUGAUUCUUACAGUAUGGCAAAGCUGACCAAGAUUGUGAACAUAACCAUUCUGCAUUUCUACUGUUCAAUGUUACACAAAAAAACACUGGUUCUGAAUGCACCCAAAUUCGUGUACAUUUUUUACGUCACUGAAUUGUAUUCAUUUAGUUUUUUUUUUAAAUUCAACUUCAUUAACACUUAAUAAUAAUGGGGGUGAAGUAUGAGGUGCACCCGGUAUACAACCAGCUGAUGAUACUUUCUCACAUUUUUCCUGAUACUGUAUAUGGAAAAAGGGGACAUCUGUAAUGUUGAUUUCGCACAUGGGUGGUCAAUUGUAAUUCAUAUAGAUAAUUCACAUUGUUUUGUUCGGUCUUUACCUUGGUGGCCCUCGAAUGACUUCAUUUCAUAUUUCCCAAACUGGUUUCUGGUGAAAGUUGGUGUGAAAUCUAUUGCUUUAUACGGUCUAACAGCAUUUGAAAUAAAUGAAUGGCAGAAGACUAAUA
rnacentral:lncRNA from 1 species